rnacentral:rRNA from 1 species
CAAGUUCGAACGAACUCUCCGUUUAAUUGAUUAUGACGUACUUGUACUGAUUGAGAUUUUAACACGAAGUGAGUGGCGAACGGGUGCAGUAACACGAUGAGGUAACCUGCCCAGAAGUAGGGGAUAACACCUGGAAACAGAUGCUAAUACCGUAGAACAGAGAAAACCGCAUGGUUUUCUUUUAAAAGAUGGCUCUGCUAUCACUUCUGGAUGGACCCGCGGCGUAUUAACUAGUUGGUGAGGUAAAGGCUCACCAAGGAAGUGAUACGUAGCCCACCUAAGAGGGUAAUCGGCCACAUUGGGACUGAGACACGGCCCAAACUCCUACGGGAGGCAGCAGUAGGGAAUCUUCCACAAUGGACGCAAGUCUGAUGGAGCAACGCCGCGUGAGUGAAGAAGGGUUUCGGCUCGUAAAGCUCUGUUGUUAAAGAAGAACGUGGGUAAGAGUAACUGUUUACCCAGUGACGGUAUUUAACCAUAAAGCCACGGCUAACUACGUGCCAGCAGCCGCGGUAAUACGUACGUGGCAAGCGUUAUCCGGAUUUAUUGGGCGUAAAGCGAGCGCAUGCGGUCUUUUAAGUCUAAUGUGAAAGCCUUCGGCUCAGCCGAAGAAGUGCAUUGGAAACUGGGAAACUUGAGUGCAGAACAUGACAGUGGAACUCCAUGUGUAACGGUGAAAUGCGUAGAUAUAUGGAAGAACACCAGUGGCGAAGGCGGCUGUCUGGUCUGCAACUGACGCUGAGGCUCGAAAGCAUGAGUAGCGAACAGGAUUAGAUACCCUGGUAGUCCAUGCCGUAUACGAUGAUUACUAAGUGUUGGAGGGUUUCCGCCCUUCAGUGCUGCAGCUAACGCAUUAAGUAAUCCGCCUGGGGAGUACGACCGCAAAGUUGAAACUCAAAAGAAUUGACGGGGGCCCGCACAAUCGGUGGAGCAUGUAGGUUUAAUUCGCAGCUACGCGAAGAACCUUACCAGGUCUUGACAUCUUCUGACAGUCUAGUAGAUAGACGUUCCCUUCGGGGACAAAUGACAGGUCGUGCAUGGUUGUCGUCAGCUCGGGUCAUGACAUGUUAGGGUCAAAUCCCCAACGAACGUACCCUUAUUACUAUUGCCAUCAUUAAUUGGGCCUCUACUAAACUCCGAUGACAACCGAAGAAAGUGGGAAGACCUUAAUAAUUUGGCCCUUAUGACUGGGCUACACGUGCUCAAUGGAGGUUCACGAGUCCGAAACCCCGGGUAACCUAUCUCUAAAACUUCUCCUUUCGAACUUAGGCGGGACCUCCCCCCCAAAACGAAAACCAUUAUCCGGAAUAAUCCGGGGAUAAUCCCCGUUGUAACCCGCCCCCAAAAAAAAAAU